GCCACGAGAGGAACCCGGCAGAACUGCUGGCUAGAGCUCCCCGGGUCCUGUCCUGCCUCCCUCCAUGCUGCUGUGGGCCGGUGGGGGAGAUCUUUGUUCUCCCUCCCCGGCUCAUGGAAGGAGCCACAUAGUGCGGGCCACAGGGAUUAGGGUGUUCCCUGGCAUACCCCGUGCGCACACCUAUGUCCCCCUGCAUUAGAGAGAUACCACUCCUGCUUCUUUUCGAGGGUGUGUAAGCCUGGUGGGGAAGAUCUGGACAUUGAGCUCAUGGUUGCUUGCUUGGGGGCACUUAUGAGAAAAGGCAGUGUUUACUUUGCUGCCUAGUAACACUUCUAGUGGCAGUAACUCAGUCGGCCACUAGAGGUGCUUCCUGUGUCACUACUGCACAGUGUGCAGCACUGGUGUUCAACGACU